CCCCUCUCAGGAUGCACCUGGAGAGUUUCCAGUAGUCUACCAGUCUCGGCUACAGGAGGGAGAGUCAAGCAGAGGCCUACCCAUUCCAUUCCUAGCUUGGCCAGUGUCUAGAGAGUGGAAGACAAUCUCCUACAAGU